rnacentral:lncRNA from 1 species
UAGUUUUAUACAAUCUUUAUUACAACUUCCUCACCAGCUGUACAUGUUCACAUUUUAAAAUUAACAACUUUUACAAGGACAGGUAACUAUGAAAUCCAUCUGAUUAAAAUGUCAUGUUCUCUUCUCAAAUGACCUCGGACUUCCUCAUUCACUGUUUGUUUCUCCCAUACAGUGUGUACAUAUUGUAUACAAGCAUCAAUAUAAACACAUGGAAAAAUCGAGAAAAAAAAAGGUUAUUUGGUAAUUCAGUUUAUGUUAAAUAAAAAUACAGAAAACAUAAAACCUGCUGAUAAGUUCUGACUGAAAAGCUUCAGUUAUUAUUGUUAUUUUUAAACAAUUAUUUUCUCCUAGAAGUUUAUUAUAGCCUGGUUAAACCAUACUGAAAACGCUGAUCGCCAUCGUUUGAAACAUUCAGUCUGGUUUAACCAGGCUAUAAAAGGUUUAUUGUCCCAAAGUUGCGGUUUCCCUGUCAAGAAUGCACAAACCGAUGUGGGGGAGCCAGGCUAGGAGACUAACCGCUGUGGAGGGGGAGCCAGGCUAGCAGACUAACCGCUGGGGGGGAGCCAGGCUAGCAGACUAACCGCUGGGGGGGGGACCAGGCUAGGAGACUAACCGCUGUGGGGG